CUGGGCUACGGCGACAUGUACCCCAUGACCUGGUCCGGCAUGCUGGUGGGGGCGCUGUGCGCCCUGGCCGGGGUGCUGACCAUCGCCAUGCCCGUGCCGGUCAUCGUCAACAAC
rfam:Picoides pubescens contig5060, whole genome shotgun sequence.